UAGGUUUGACUCCAAAGAAGCACGUGUAUGUGUGGACAAUGCUAUAAGAUGAAACAAGGUAUGGGUGAGCUCUUGAACCCUAUCAAGCACUGAAGAUGACAAGUUUCUCUGCCAUAAGACUUGGAUCUGGGCUUUCCUCUUCCCACCUGCCUGAUUGAAGCACCAUCACUCAGAACCAGGAAGCAAGGACAUUUUCUCUCCGAGAACCAGCUCACGUGCCUCUCCCAACAACAGAUGGAGAUCUUUCUUUGGAGAGCUAGCUUGGCCAGUGGAAAGGACACAGGCUUUGGAAUCAGAACACCUGGUGUGAGUCCUGCCUCUACCACAAGCUGAAUGGAUAACUUUCUUUUCUUGAAACUCAUUUUUUAAAAAAUCUGUAAGACAAGACUUAAAACAACAAACUUACCUCUCAGACUUAUUAUGAUUAUCAAGUGAGGUAAUGUAUAUGAAAGUCCUUUUCAAACUUUAAAAUGCCAUUCCAUUGUAAGAGAUUACUUAGAACCGUGUCUGGCAUAUAAUAUAUACCAUAAAAGUGUCUGUUAAAUUGAAAAAUAAAAAUAAUUG